rnacentral:tRNA from 1 species
UGGGGCGUAGCCAAGCGGUAAGGCAGCGGUUUUGGUACCGCCAUUCCCCCGGUUCGAAUCCGGGCGCCCCAGCCA